rnacentral:lncRNA from 1 species
AAGGUUCUCGGCUUUUCCAGUCCCCGGGCGUCUCGGGCGGUCGAGGUCCUUCAGGCGCACCGAGGCCGACUAAGCGCCUCAGGAGUGAAUCAGAGACUGGGAACCGGAGAGGGUUCAGUUUGGGUCCAGCCAACCCUUAAUUUUUAACUCCUGGGGUUUAUUCGGUGGGUUGAUGUGAUGCUGUAAUCCCUCCAGAAAGUCAGACAGUCGUUCGGGUUGUCCCAGUAAGAUGCUGAGCGCGCUCAUCGAGGGUUCCAGGAAGGUGUUGGGAUUGGAGUCAUGUGAGCCGGUGGAGCUGGCCCGAAUCCCUCGGAGGGAGUGUCGAGGCGCGCAGCCUCUGGAGAGGCUGAGCAUCAGCAGGACUGCUACAGUGACUGGGAUCACUCCAGCUAGUUUUCAGUAUUUAACAGAGUUGCUCAGAGUGUGUCUGGCAAUGGAUGCUCGAAGUUGGCUGAGUCAUUGGGGCUGUCGGCUGCACCAGCUGCACGGAACAUGCUAUGUAUCGGCUUGGCUUCUCCCAGCAUACUGAAUGGACAUAAGUAGGAAUGUUUCAGGAGACAAGAAGAGAACGCCUCCCGUUCCUUAAGAUGUGGACCGGGGAGUGGGGAUAGCAUCACUUCAGUCAUACUCUAGUGCAGCCACAAUGACUUUCAACAAAUUGGAGUAGGGGGAAUGUUUAAAAGCUACCACAAUAUUGGACCCAAUGUUUAAGCAUUUUAUUUAAAAUCAUUUAUAUGUAUUAGCUCUUCAUAAUUAAUUGUUCCAUGACAUUUAUUAAAUGGAAUAAAUGCAAUCUUCUAGGA